GGUAUCUGUGACCCUCCAGUGCUGACUUCCCCCCAAUCCCAAAACUCAAAUCAGUUCAUGAUUGGUGGCUGUCCCUCUAGCUACCUGGUGCUGAAGCUGCAUACCUCGCUCGUCACCAUAACCCAACCCCCUCUGCUCUUUAAAGCCAACUAUUAACACCUUCCUCAUUGAGAAAGCGUUUGGUCACUUGCCCUGAACACGUGUUUUUUUUUUUCUGAAUCAGUGUCAAGUUCAUUUUGCUGGCGCUUUCCGCUGUGUGUCAUCCUUGGCAAUUGUAAUUGCACCAAAUUGUGGUACAAUCACUUGGCAUGUGUACUCUACUGGUCUCAGCAACCUUGAAAAAGAGUACGCAGUGAGCUCUGUCCCAUCCUCAGGUGAAUGACAGUGCAGGGAGUAUCCACUCUUUGUGAUCCCAAUCCAACUUGGGUCAUUUCAUCGGUUCAUAAAAAAAAAAGGCGCAGAAUCAGGCCAGGGUGGGGUACGUGUGCCCUGGUUAUUUCCUGGUGAGUUAACAACUUAUAUAUCUACUCAGAUGCAGGGAUGAAAGGCUCUCCACAAAGGCACAUUAUCCUGACUUUUUGAGUGCGAGCAGCAGCGGAGUUUAAACGAACCCGGAAGACUGCAGCUAAGUUUACGUUUGGGCCUCCCUGAUGUAGAGAAGGCCACGUUGGAAACACCAGAUACGGACAACUAGUUUGGAGGAGAGACAGUGGGAUCCAUUUUCGUGGUGAGGAACGGAGUAGAGCCUCAAUCAUCUGCCAUUGCUGAUCCACUGGCCUUCCUGCCCAUCUGGUCUGCCCAAGUCCUCAGAACACGACCGUGGGACACCACCUUCCCUCACCCAAACUAACUUUGGAAUUUCUAUCACCCUAUAGUCACGACUCCGAGAGGUUGCUAAACUAUGACGUAUCGAUUAGUCUCUCCUCAUUACGCACAGCCUACUGCUCCAAGAAACAAUCUCUAACACAUUCAAUGAAAUCUGCCUCCGGACUCCCCUUGCCAAUUUCAUUCUUCCAAUCCUUGUUCAAGAUAAAAAUCACCCAUGAUUAUUCUCGUACCUUUCUUGCAAGACUCUAAUAUUUCCUAGUUUUUAGCUGUGCCCCACUGGGAAACUACUCUGUGGGAAACAAUGAAUUACUCAUAUGCAUGACCACAUGGGGGUACUGUCCUCCUUUCUGUUUCUAAUCUAACUUGCAUUGACUGUAUUGGGACCCACUGUGCUCCCUUCUCACCCGGAACUAUGUUGUGGUAGCUCGAUCUGGGAGUUCAGCAUGCUCAUCGGUUUCCUGCGUACCACAAUGGGGUCUCUGUUCAUUUCUUCUGCUCUCAGUCUACCUUGGGGUAGAUCACAUUGUAUACUCUUCUGUUUCCAAAAUGCUUUGGCUGAUUCACAAUGUCAUCAAAGCUCACUCGUAAAUUCUCAAUGUACUUUGGGUAAAUCACAUCUGGAGCAUUUUACAAACUGCUGCACCUUGUGUCGACCACACUGGGAACACUGUACUGAGCGCAUCAUUUCUCAGCUCACCGUGACUAGGUAUUUCAGUCUUUAUGGUGUUUAAGUAUGGCUGUCUUUAAUGUCUUCCUUUCUGUCUCCAGCAUUAUUGGUGAACGUGUGUGAGGAGAAUGUUUUUGGACUCCCUAUAACAGCGGCGAGAGACUGAGUAGACUGCAUUGUUGGCACCUUGGCUGUUGCUGUAUGAAGUAAUGAGUGUCACAACAUGGAGCAUAUUUGGCUGCAUAGCACUCUGACCCUCUGGGUUACGCUGAUAGUAUAAAUUCUGUCGUUGAGACACUACUGUAUUGUGUAGAUCCUCUGACCCUUGACACAUU